CGAGAGGUGUAAGCCCAAUUUAUAAUCCUUUGUCUUCAAGGAUUUAACGUCUCUUGAGCCUUGUCCUGGCUCAAGACAGCUGGAAAAAUGGAGCAGAGCUUACAACUGCCUCCCCGGGGUCUCCUGGCUGCACUGAGCACUUCCAGCAUCAUCUCACCAGUUUUCAAGACGGGAGGAUGUGACCUGACCCUGGUGUCUGCAGCCAGCAUCACAUUCCCAGGGUCCCUGGGGGAGCACCUCACUCGCAGCCUGCCUCGUGGCUCCACACCCUGGCACUGGAGCAGAGAGAUGGUGUGUUUCCAGUGUGCUGCUUCUCGCGAGCAGUAAUUGCUUUCUGAGGAGUUUGCUCCAUGUUCCCGAGCACCUGCUACGUGGGGAAAUGUGCGCUCUUCCCCUCCUCAAGCUCCUCAAGCGCUUCUGCCUUCAGCUCCCAGCUCUCCCUUCGGGCAGCAGGGAUGUGCCAGGGGAGCGCACAAGGAGAGCAGGAACUUCCAGGCGGCUUCUUCAAAUCACUAAGCUCUUCCUAAGGAUGGUAAAACCCUUCCUAAAUCUGUUGUCCUAAAAGAGGCGGGCAGCCGAGCUUUUCAGGAUUUCUGGUGUGUCCUUACAGAAAGAACCACUAUGCCUCACUCUUGGUUUUCCAGAUUAAAUAAAUUUGUAAGAAGUAGCUGGGAGAUGGGGAGCAGGGGAAGAGGAGGAGCUCAAGGCUGCAGUGGAAACAGCAGCCAGGUAUGACAGAGGGAUGCUUAUUUCUAUCUCCCCCACAAAACCAUGGCACCAAACCUUGAAGUAAUCAGUAUUUUGGGGUGCCUGCUCCAUGGGGCACAUCCCCAGCUGCUGCAGUGCCCAGCCCCGCUGCUCACGGGGGAUUCCUCUGCAGCCCCGGCGGGGCACGGGCUGCGGGGAUGGUGUGAGGCAGCACAACCGAAGGCUUGCAGGCUCCUUCUGUUUUAAUACAUUUAUUGAUUGUGGCGUACACACCAGGAUAUAAUUUAGAAAUCACUCUCCCAGAAUCAAUUAAAGACCUUGCUAGUAAUAUAGGCACCUCUUUUUGUUAAAGCCUUCACCCUUCCCACAAAUUCACACCCCACCGUCCCUGCUCGACUCUUGGGGAAUGCCCAUCUCCCUCCCAGCAGAGGCUGGGUCCCUCUCCAUCCAGGAGCACUGGUGCCAGCAUCUCCUGCCAGCAGACCUGCUGCUUUUCUGGGCACUAGUGCUGCCCCAGCUGCCUCUCAAACCAGCCGUCGGUUACGGGCUGUCACAGAAACAAGAUCUAUAAUCUCCUGGACCCCCUCAUAACGUUCCCUGUGUCCACAGCAAGGUGGGUAAUACGUGCUCGGGAGGUGCCAGUGGCCAGCUCUGUGCCCUUACAUUAAUUAUGAAGAAGUCCUGGGGGGGGGUGGUCCUGGGGGAGUGGGGCUGCAGGCUGGGCACAGAGGCAGUCGGCUGUGCUGCCUGGUUUGGGCAGGGGCAGAGCUAAGGGGGUAAAAGCUCUUCCAGCCUUGCCCUGUGGCUGCUCCAUCGGUGUGAUGAGUUGCCCUGGCGUUAGACCACAGCCCCGGGGGGGUCAGGUGGAGGGGGAUCCUUAAAGAGGGGAAGUGGGGACGGCGCUGCGGGGACGCGGCGCAUCCUCUGGCUUUCAAAUCAAAUGGCAAUUGCCACCACGGGCCAGCAGCGUGCCAGCCGGGUCCGUGCUGACUCUCGAGGGGUGGAUGUGAUGGACCUUCAGCUGAUCGCCCCCGCGGUGGCUUUCUGUGGGGACACAGCCCGGGCUGCCCGGGCCACAGGGACGGUGUUGGCGCUGGAGGCAAACGGCUUCUCGAGCCCAUCAGCUCCUCCUUUUCCCUCCGAUCCUCUCGUGCAGUGCGAGUCGGGCGCAGCUUCCAGGCGAGGGGGGCUCGGACCCGACGAUGUCUCCAAUGCAGCGAAGCGUGGAGGUGGGGGUGGCUGACGCGGCGUGAGCCCGGCUGCCUGCGCCCGUCCAGCUGGGUCACGGUGCAGGUCCUGCAAAGCGGAGGCUGGACUGUUUGUCUGGGGGGAGAACCUGAGAUUUCAAAAUAUAUCUUGCUCCACAGCAGGGUGAUAUACCCCACUUGUUACUCAAACAGUUUGUUACUUGGUAUUCCUGUGCAGUAAGAUACGGGGUGGCCGGAGCAGGCUGCUGUGGUAGGCAUUAAUCUUUGUAUUCUGAUUUUGGCUUUGUUAACAUUAUGGAGUUUAUUCACAAAAUGGAACUAUUACAUCCUUUUAUGAUGGUAAUAUCUCUUCCAAGAUGUAGAGCUUUGACCAUGCCUAAAGAAUUUCUGUGUUCUUCUAUUUUUUUUUUUUUUCACUUUCUUACUGUAGUGAUGAACUUUCAUCAAAAUAAUUGCAGAUUGUUUUUUUUGGUUUUGGUUAUUUUUUUUUUUUUGUGUUUUUUUUUUUUUUUUUUUUAAUCUGUAAAACCUCUUUAGUCAAUCAACACUGUCGCAUGGAAAAGAAGUUGAGGAGAAGGGGAAAGGAAGUCUCCAGGGACAGGAAUACUGGGAUUUGGUUCUUGUCUUUGCUUUCUGUCUCCUGCCCACUGUUAGAGGUGCAUGGACUAAAGUCAGAGCUGGGGUGAAGCAUCCCUGCCCUGUCCAGGCAACGUUACACCCGCAGUGGUGAUGCCAGGAGUUCUCUGGCAUGAGGAAUAAACCCAGCUCAGCUCUUCCUGGGGAGCGGCCUGGUGGAUACCCGGCUCUCCAGUUCCUCCCAUCCCACCAGCAGAAGAAACACAGUGACUACAAAACCACCUUGGGAGGGCUCGUGGCCGGGAAGCUAAAGCCAAGGGGCUGUGGAUGCACUGCAGGCUGCAGACGUCCCGCUGCCCUGGGGCGAAGCUUGCGGGAGCUCGGUAUUUCACAGGGCUGGACAGUUCUUCCUCGCCGAGGUUUGUGAUGCUCCUCAAGGGAUCUCUGUGCUGCAGUAUAACAUCCCUGUAUAGGGAAAUUGCCUUAAGUAAUGGUUUCUGUGGGUUUUUUUUAAGGUAUAUUUAUGAUAUCUUUUAUUGGAAUAGAAUUAAAGUGAAAUUAGAAACUAAAAUAACUUUAAUUACGAACUUCAUGAUUCAGUAUGUUGUAAAUCCUUCAACAUAAUAUUGUGCCAUAAAAAUGCUAUUUUGUGAUAAUUAUUAUUAUUAUAAUUAAUGUUCCUUAAUUGCUAAUGUCGCAGGCAUGUGUUAUCUCCCAGGUUUUCUUGCAGUGUCUCUGGAGGAGCUCCACCACGGGGGGAUGCGGAGGAUCCAGGCGGGUGCCUGGGCGGGCACAGGCUGUGUGUGGGGCGGUGGGUGGGUGUCCGUGCGUCCGAGCGAUGCUGCCAGCUUAUCCCACCCUGCGGUUUGCCUCUGGCUGGCCAGCGGCUCAGCUCUUCCCAGAGAGGAGGUGGCAGUGAGCAGCGAGCAGGGAUAAACGUGAUAAGCUGUGACUAAUGCCUCUGAGCCAGGCUUUGCUGUGGUCUCAGGGGCGCUUGCAGUCGGCCAUGGGCUCCCUCCAACCGGCCGAGAUGAGCUGAGUGCCGUUUGAUGGCUCUGCCUUUGGUUGGGGUGGGAGCACCCCAGCCACCCGUCUGUCCUUGCAGGAUGGGUGCGGGUAUGUUAGUCAUGGCCUGGCUAAGGGGUGAGAGCGCUGCUUGGAGCUGGAAACCCCCUGGGCUUCCCCCUGACUCCCUGCAGAGCCUCUGCUGUGCCAGGGCUGGCUGGUGGAUGUCUGGAGGUGCUCAUCUGUGCGCGGUCCCAUGCCGGCGGUGCCCAGCGUAGGUGGCCUGGCUGCUUCAGGAGUCGCUGGAGCUGCCCUGCUCCUGCAGCCAAGGGCCACAGGGCUUGUUCCGGGGCACUGUGCGUGCCAGGGGCACAGGGUCUCAGCACGGGGUUCCUCCUGGCCACCCUCCUCGCUGCCCUGCCUCGGUUCAGCCCAUAAGCCAUGGAUCCUCAUCCUUAACGAGCUGCCAUUGCUUCAGCUGUGUUAUCCAAAGCGCUGCCCCAUUUAAUGAGACAUUUGGGCUUGUGGCUGGCUGGUUGUUGAACGGCAAAUUUCAGUCAAGCAUUGGGCGACUUCACCUUCCUCUCCUCAUUCCUUGGGUCUAGCCUCUCCUCCUCACCCCCAGCCACUGUUUCGAGAGCGCCAAAGGAGAAUUAAAUUCCCUCCAGUGCCUGCCAGGAGCUGUACAAGAUGCCAGCACCGCGUUGCUGGAAUGAAAACGGAGAGCAAACAUGCCGCUGCAGCCAGCGAGGCAGGAGGAUGCUGUAGGGAACCUGCCUCACUGCGGGCUUGGCUCCCACCGGCUGUUAACACUCGGCCAAGAGCCGGGGAGCCCACAGCAUGGUGAGCUGUGGGUGUGGAGGGAGAUGCAGGGUGUGAGCAAGGGGAACAGGCCGUGGAGAAUAAAGACUGGCCCACAGGGAGGUGAGGAGAAAGCAGCAGGAUGGAAAAGCGGUGGUAUUGAUGCUGUGGCCAGACUGGCGCUUAGCAGUUCUUGUUAGCAUCCUUUAUUCGCUUGGAGGAUGCUGCUGGGGUCUGGGAGGCGGUGGCAGAGAGCGGGUCCUCAGACCCAGGUGUGAGGGAGGAGCAGGGAGCCGAGGGAUGGAAAACGCCUGAUGCCAAGCGCGUGAAUUUUUCAUGUGACCCGGAGGCCUCGCUUGUACCAUCAUGGGGCUGCCUGGGACCAGCUGAGAGUGGGAAGGCAUGAAAACAGCCACUGAGCCACCUGCUUCACAGUGGUGAGUGUUUAUGGGAUGAAGCUGAAACCAGGAUGCAUUUUUAAUGACGCAGGCAGGGCUGGGUUUCUUUAAAUAAGACUAGACAAUGAAUAUGUGCUCCUGAAGCUGUGUAGUGCACCACAAAUGCAUUAUUUACAGCAGCUUCUUCCUUGUCUAUUUUAAUUUUACAUGGGCACUGGAGAAAGGGAAGGGACUCCUUGGUGUCUCAUGGCCGCCCACUUGUUCCGUGUGACAGAGGUGAAUUUCUCAGCUGCUGAAGGAUUUGGUGUUGAGCUAUCCACUGACUUGAGUCGUGAGGGAAACAGCCAGCCUGGGAAUGGAGCCUGGCACCUGGACGUAGGGGCAGCUAUAGCCUGGGGUUUAGUGUGGCUGAUGCAUCACCAGGUCUUAAUUGUGUCAUUUUCUGUCUUCUCCCCAUGCAUGAAAUGGAGGGGUGAUGCUCUUAGAUCGCUGCAACCCCUCCUUGUCCCUUUGCACACUGAGCACAGCAUCUCUCCUGCUGGCACUUGUGGAGGACCAGAAAGCCUUUGGGAAGUGGACGAUGGCACAUGUCAACCUGAUGGUGAGGGAGGAGGUGAAUUGCUCCAUGAAAGGGGUCCUCAGCUGGCCCUGGCGAGGGAGGGCAGGGAGGAUUAAGCAGCAGUACGGUGGGCUAUGGCGGGGGGCGGGGAUGGAGGGGUGCUCCAAAGGACACGGCGUUUCCCCAGAAGGGAUGCUCUGCCUGUUUCCAGCUGGUGACAGGCCAGCCAAGGUGGUGAGCACUGACUUCAGGCUGCUAUUCAGCCCUCAACCAUUGUGUUUCAGAGGUAACACCUUUUGCAAUUAACAGAGGAUCUCCUUAUACCUCAAUUAGAACCGUCGGGUCAAUCUGUCCUGCCUUUUCCCGUCUCCGCAAGACUGGCUGCAAACCUUGCCCAGGUAAGCUGCCACAGGACCCAGCACUGCGGCCACGGCGCUCCGCUGCGUCACGAAAUGCCAUCGGCACUAAACCUUCCGGCGAUGGCACCGCACCCUUCUGCUGGCUGCCGUAAAUCAAAGCAGCCCGUGUAGCCGUGGCUCCCGGCGGGGGGGUGGGUGUCCCCAGGCCACGGCUGGGGCGGCGAUGCCACAUCCGUGGUAGCAGAGAUCCACAUCUUGGAGACUCUCUGCAGAGCUGGGGAGUCGGGCAGUGACUUUCUCUCCUACUUUCAAAGUUGCCCCGACGCAAAGUCUGUGUUUGCACGCUGUGCAGGGACGCCGGGGUUUGGCUCAUCAAGGGCUGCUUGAUUUCCUCGGUGGGGAGCCCUCAGGCUGCUGGGGGGAAGCACAAAGCAGUUCCAGCACUCAUGAGUGGCUGCAAAGGUGGGAUUGGAGUCCAGGAGCUGACGGACACGAGGCCGCUUUCCCCGACACUGCUGGGCCUGGGAGGGUUGAGAUGGCAGCUUGACGGCUUGGAAAAUAGGCUGAGAUGAAGGAAUAUCAAUAUGGAGAGCGAGCUGUUCCUGCUGAACAGCCCCGGGGCAGCUAACGUGAAAUGCUGGUUGUCUCAGAGGAGUUGACAGGUGUCUGCAUCAGGCUUCCUGCUAAUUAAGCGCCGUUGUGAGUCACGGGGCUGAGGGAAGAAGGAGCAGAGGAGGAGCUCAGCGGGUGCAGGUAUGGCCAGGGGGAGUCUCUGCAGGAGCUCCCUGCCCAUCGGGGAAGGACCGGUGCACGCGUGGCUUGUCGGCUAGUGGAUACGCACUCAUCGGGGCAGGCAAGCCUUUUGGGAGCUGGGGAUUGGCUUUGGGAAGAGCAGAGCGAGCUGUCCCACUGAGUGUUCGUCCUCUCCCAUUGCGGCUGUGUGCCUUCCCCUGGGUCCCACGUGCUGGCAGCGAUGCCCAGAUCUCCUGUUACAGACCCAGCAGGAUCCCCCGGAGCAUCUCCAACGACCCCAGCUCCCAUCCCACCAAACCUCCUCCCAAAUCAAAGGGUGCAUCACUGCUGGGGAAACAAGGAUGCUCCUAGACCCCUCUUUCUCCCGAUCCCCCUCAAGACGACCCAUUUUGCCCACAGACCUCUUCCUUCCCAGCCCUGUCUGGGGAGGGAGAUUCUUCCUGUAAUUAAUGGUGGUGCUGCCUGCCCACUGAGGCCUUUAACAGAAAAUUCCCCAUUUUGAGGAACACAAGCAUGGUGGGGGUGAGGAGGGGGCGUCUCACCAACAAUGCUUUGUGGACCCCACUGAUCUGGAGGGUGCCUGUAGCAGCAGGAGCAGGAUAAAAGCCAUGCUGGCAGACAACAAAGUGCCUUCCUUCUCUGGCAGAGCUGGGAGGGGAGGGGCACACACUGCCCUGGUGAUAGCCCCUGUGCCACCCCAGGUCCCUUCCCCAUGUGCCUCUUCAACACCUUUUGCCCGCUGGCCCCUCUUGCCUCUGCAGCUGCGAUCCCCUGAAAAAUGGCUCUAUUCAUUACCCAUUUUAAUUUCACCCUAGAUCCCCAGAGCUCCGCAGACACAGUUUAUUAUCCUGGCUGUCAAGAAGCUUAAAGAGCUUCUGGAAAACUUCGACAAACCCUCUGGUUGAACCCAGCGCUGGGUCCCCAGCCUUUCUGUUCCUGGGUCCUGAGGCAAGGAUGGGAGGAGGGAAAAAAAACCCAUUGCUGACAUCUGGGCAGACCUGAUCCCCUCCUGGAGACCAUGCCCUUUGGGACGGGGCCCUGGGACUGGCUGGGCAGAGCUGAGCUGCAGAGUUUGGGUGUGAAGGUCCCCAAAGCCCACGUCUGGGUUGCAGGCUGUUCUCUGGGCCAGCCAGAUUUCACAGAUUUCACAGCCCCAAAGGCCUCUGGGCUGAGGCCACUGGAUUAUCUCUCAUCCCUAAAUUCUGCUGUUCAGCGCAGGGGGUUUAA